UGUAAAAGUUCUUUAUGUAGACUAAUUUGAACCUUUCAGAUGGCGUCAGCGAGUUUAACCAGGAUCGAGUAAGGAGACAUAUUGAGGAAGGAAAGGACUUGCAUCGCGAACCAGUUCUGACUGACUUGUGGAAGAGAUAAUGCUGAUGAUGCUGCUGAUGAUGAUGGCGUCAGCGAGUUUAACCAGGAUCGAGUAAGGAGACAUAUUGAGGAAGGAAAGGACUUGCAUCGCGAACCAGUUCUGACUGACUUGUGGAAGAGAUAAUGCUGAUGAUGCUGCUGAUGAUGAUGGCGUCAGCGAGUUUAACCAGGAUCGAGUAAGGAGACAUAUUGAGGAAGGAAAGGACUUGCAUCGCGAACCAGUUCUGACUGACUUGUGGAAGAGAUAAUGCUGAUGAUG
rnacentral:lncRNA from 1 species